AACGAACGCUGGCGGCAUGCCUAACACAUGCAAGUCGAACGAGACCUUCGGGUCUAGUGGCGCACGGGUGCGUAACGCGGGGGAACCUGCCCUUAGGUUCGGAAUAACUCCCCGAAAGGGGUGCUAAUACCGGAUAAUGUCUUCGGACCAAAGAUUUAUCGCCUUUGGAUGGGCCCGCGUUGGAUUAGCUAGUUGGUAGGGUAAAAGCCUACCAAGGCGACGAUCCAUAGCUGGUCUGAGAGGAUGAUCAGCCACACUGGGACUGAGACACGGCCCAGACUCCUACGGGAGGCAGCAGUGGGGAAUAUUGGACAAUGGGCGAAAGCCUGAUCCAGCAAUGCCGCGUGAGUGAUGAAGGCCUUAGGGUUGUAAAGCUCUUUUACCCGGGAUGAUAAUGACAGUACCGGGAGAAUAAGCUCCGGCUAACUACGUG
rnacentral:rRNA from 1 species